rnacentral:misc_RNA from 1 species
AUGAAUAACUUGAUGUGGUUGUAGCUGGCUCUUAGGAGCAUGUGCACGCCCAUCAUCUUAUCUUUCCACCUGUGCACAUAAUGUAGAUCUGGAUAACUCUCGCUCCUCGGAGCGGAAACAAGGAUUGCUGCGUCGCAAGGCCGGCUCUCUUUGAAUUUCCAGGUCUAUGUCAUUACAAACUCCAAUUGAAUGAUGUAGAAUGAAGUCAAUGGGCUCUAAGCCUAUAAAACAAAAUA